UACGUAGGGGGCUAGCGUUGUCCGGAAUCAUUGGGCGUAAAGCGCGCGUAGGCGGCCCGGUAAGUCCGCUGUAAAAGUCAAAGGCUCAACCUUUGAAUGUCAGUGGAUACUGCCGGGCUAGAGUCCGGAAGAGGCGAGUGGAACUCCUGGUGUAGCGGUGGAAUGCGCAGAUAUCAGGAAGAACACCGACGGCGAAGGCAGCUCGCUGGGACGUACUGACGCUGAGGCGCGAAAGCGUGGGGAGCGAACAGG
rnacentral:rRNA from 1 species